AGUGGGAUAGUUAGGUCAAAUGGUGGUUCCAUUCCAAGUUUUCUAAGGAAUCGCCAUACUGCUUCCAGAUUGGUUACACCUAUUUGCAUUCCUACCAGCAAU
rnacentral:pre_miRNA from 1 species